CUAAUACUUCCACUUUACACCACCCAAACUACAACAUUAUUCAAACAAACCCAAUCACUUCAAAUAAAGCUACUAAUAUUAAUAGGAGUGGUAAAGCCACUAUUGCAAUAGGAACGCUUAUCAAUAAUAGUUAUGCAUAUAAUGAUAUCAUGAAUUAACUAAUACAAGAUUUCACAAAACUCCCAAAACAUAAAAUAAUAAACCAAACUUAAAAGUGCCCUUUAGAUGAAAACCAUAUCUUCUCCACCAUGAUUGGCUCCAAUGUUGCAGCUAGCAUCAGGUAGGGAUUCAUCACCUACAUCCCUGGUACAACCCUAACAAUGAAAUCAAUUUGAACCUCGGAUCAGGGAUAGAUCAUCUCACGAUCUAAUAUUCAUGAUAUAGCAAAAUUUACACAAAUUAAAGAUGAUAAAAAAAAGUUUAUAUUAAAUUUUUAUUGUGCAUAUAAUAAAAAGGUGAUAAAUGAGUCAUAUUCAGGUUAUUCCAGUGAAUGAUUAAUUUGAAUUAAAAAAAAAAGUAAGUUACAGGAAGACUAAGAGAGAUGGAGGUAUUUUUUUAUAAGAAAUU
rnacentral:misc_RNA from 1 species